rnacentral:rRNA from 1 species
UACAGAGGUGCCAAGCGUUAGGCGGAAUCACUGGUCUUAAAGCGCGUGUAGGUGGGUCGUUAAUUGUCCGCGUGAAAUCCCACGGCUCAACCGUGGAACUGCCGGGCAUACUGGCGAUCUUGAGGCAUUCAGGGGCGAGCGGAACAAGUGGUGGAGCGGUGAAAUGCGUAGAUAUCACUUGGAACGCCAAUGGUGAAAACAGCUCGCUGGGAAUGAUCUGACACUGAGACGCGAAAGCCAGGGGAGCGAACGGG